GAGUGAAGUGGGAAAGCUCAACUUUGAAAUCUGGUACUUUCAGUAUCCGAAUUGUAGUCUCAAGAAGUGUUUUCUGUGCCGGUCCAUGUAUGAGUCUGUUGGAACACAGCUUCAUAGAGGGUGACAACCCCGUUCAUGACAUGGAUCCCGGUGCUUUGUGAUACACUCUCGAAGAGUCGAGUUGUUUGGGAAUGCAGCUCAAAUUGGGUGGUAAAUUCCAUCUAAAGCUAAAUAUUGGCGAGAGACCGAUAGCAAACAAGUACCGUGAGGGAAAGAUGAAAAGCACUUUGGAAAGAGAGUUAACAGUACGUGAAAUUGUUGAAAGGGAAACGAUUGAAGUCAGACGUGCGUGAUGCGGUUCAGCUCUAGUUCGCUAGAGUGUACUCCGUAUCUUUGCAGGCCAGCAUCGGUUUUGUUAGUCGGAUAAAGGUUUGAGAAAUGUGGCAUCUUCGGAUGUGUUAUAGUCUCAGACUGAAUACUAUUGAUGGGACCGAGGAACGCAGCGCGCCGCAGGGCAAAGGUUCCGACCUUUUCGCGCUUAGGAUGCUGGUGAAAUGGCUUUAAACGACCCUC
rnacentral:rRNA from 1 species